rnacentral:rRNA from 1 species
GACGAACGCUGGCGGCGUGCUUAACACAUGCAAGUCGAACGGAAAGGCCCUGCUUUUGUGGGGUGCUCGAGUGGCGAACGGGUGAGUAACACGUGAGUAACCUGCCCUUGACUUUGGGAUAACUUCAGGAAACUGGGGCUAAUACCGGAUAGGAGCUCCUGCUGCAUGGUGGGGGUUGGAAAGUUUCGGCGGUUGGGGAUGGACUCGCGGCUUAUCAGCUUGUUGGUGGGGUAGUGGCGUACCAAGGCUUUGACGGGUAGCCGGCCUGAGAGGGUGACCGGCCACAUUGGGACUGAGAUACGGCCCAGACUCCUACGGGAGGCAGCAGUGGGGAAUAUUGCACAAUGGGCGGAAGCCUGAUGCAGCAACGCCGCGUGCGGGAUGACGGCCUUCGGGUUGUAAACCGCUUUCGCCUGGGACGAAGCGAGAGUGACGGUAAUGGGUAAAGAAGCACCGGCUAACUACGUG